rnacentral:tRNA from 1 species
GCGGGCGUGGUUCAAUGGUAGAACGCGAGCUUCCCAAGCUCGAAACGGGGGUUCGAUUCCCCUCGCCCGCU